CACAGGUCUGGGUGGCUCCCCGGGGACCAAAGAGCAGGCUGAUCUGCCACCCUGAGAGGCUGCCUGGGGACUGAGCAUGUUUCCCUGGGCUUCACAGUGCCCACUGGUGCUUCGGAGGAGAGAUGUGGAGGAUACUUCUGAGAUAAGGCCCUGAGUUUUAUUCUCCUUCCUUUAUAAUCAAGGUGGUGGCUGAGGGGAGCCCACCAUCCCCACAGCGUCUGGUCCUAAGAAGAGGAGAAACAGCACCCUGUUUUCAAAUUUGUCUCCUCUGUGUGGUGGUCACACCUCCAGGGCCUGCUUGCCUCUGGGGGACAGAAGGCCCAGCACCUGGCCUGCAGAGCCAGAGCCUGGGUGGGUAGCCGCAGCACCUGCCCCUACCCAGCCCCCUCCCCUUCCCCACUGCAGCACAGAAACGAGAAACAGAAGUGGAGCAGCAGCCUGGUGGAGUUUUGGAAUCUGACACAUCUGUGUACCAUCAUUAACAAGUAUGCGGCUCUCCCUCUGAGGCCUCGACAUCCUCAUCUGUAAAAUGGCCUCAGCAUUACAUGCUGUCUGGACUGCCAGACUUCUGGGAUAUAAAAUAUAUAAAUGGCAGAGGCUGAUGCUGUCUAACAGGGGCAUCCUGGUUUCCCCCUUUCCUCUUUUUUUAAUGGUAUUAAUAUAAUUUAAGAAAUAUGCAGAAAGCCUUUUUCUUUCCCUUGGGACUUCUGAGAAGGCAGCCUUGGAGCGCCAGAGGCAGGGCAUAGGUGGAGCAUCUUCUGAAGGUCCACCAUCCCUAAAAUCCUUAUCCUCACAGGUUGUCUUUCCCUGUGGGGGUGCUUUUUUGGGCCUGUCUUUGUCUGAUUAAGCUUAUGAAUCUUGCCAUGAAAACCCCACCUUCCACCACUGAGCACAGUUGAGCAGCUCAAGGGCUGCCCUUGCAGAAUUGAUAACCAAGUGGCCUCUGGCCACCCUGCUGGUGCAGGACCCUGGCCUGCCAGUGAGGGGUCAGUGUGGUCUCCACCCAGCUCCAGGCCUGAGCUGAGCAAGGUGUAGCAGGAAGUUUAUGAAGUCAUCUAAAUGACUUCUAAAUCAUUUAUUCUAAAUCAUGUGAACCACCAGGGCUCUAGGAACCAUACAGAAAUUAGGAGUUUUGCAGGAAAAAUAUACUGGGAGACGGAACUGUUGCACUUGUCGCUGGGACACACAGGGACUGGGAGCUAUGCUGAGGUCACAGCAGCUUAGGGCAUGUCCAGUAGGAAUGGGUGUGGGCGUUUAGGUGGGGCCUCUGCCCUCAGGAGUCACUGCCAGGGAGGGGACAGAUGGCAGAAGGCCAUGGGCAGGGCAGGAUGGAAGGGGCCCAGAGGAGGCUCCUUUGUCCUGAGAGGUAAAUGGAGGGCUUAUGGUUGGGCGAUGGGAGAAGUGGGCAGAGGCCUCGGCCUCCUCUUCUGAAACAUGAGGACUUAGGAUGUCUUCCUCACCCUGGUCCUUAGGACACAGUCCUCCAGUCUUUCAGCCUGUGGCUUAGUUCCCUGGCCCUAGCACCAGGCUGGGUUCCCCUGGAGACUCCUCAGGAGGGUUUCUGGGGGAGGCUGUGGGACGUGGGAGGGCUCCAGGGGCUGGUGCUCCCACCAUCCAUCCAGGCUUUCUCUGUGUGUCCUGCCCACCCUCCCACACUGCCCCUGCCCACCUCUGGGUUGCUGUCCUCUUCUGCUCUCCUCUGGGGACACUCUCUUUUCCCAUCCAAUGCACCAAGGCUGUCCCACUGUGCAUGAGGCCAACUGCUGAAGGUUGGGGUGGAAGCCAAGAGGGCAGUUCUCCUCUCAGGACAGCACAGCCAGCAUUAGAGGGGAAGGCUGGGCCCGAUUGUGCUGGGGGUGCUUCCUCUCAGGGGGCCACGCUGCCCCCUUCUCCUCACCCUCCUCCUGUUCUCCCCUGCUUCCCCACCCCCCCGCCCCCCAGCUCUUAAUUUCCUUCUUGCUGGGUCACUAGAAACUCAAAAUUCCUUUCACUUUAUUACUCAUGACAAGGCAGCUCUGUGGCCAUGGUUGGAGGGGAGGUCACUGCUCACCUUUCUCUUCUGAGAGGAUCGAGGGGGGACUUCUAAGGAGAGAAAAUCAUGCAGGUGAAAACUGGGGAGACACAGGGUGAGCUCUGUGCUUGUCUGCCCGUGGGGUGGCCCAGGGCACUCUCACUCUGUCCUUAGCUCUGCCACAGGACAGGAGCUGGACUAGCUUGCAAAGCCUCAGGGACGGUGCCCCCAGAGUGGAGCCUGAAACCUACCCUGAGUACUAAAGGGCCAGCUGUGCAGAUGACACUGAUCUUGAGUUUGUCACACACUGGCUUUGGGUGCAGCAGAGCCCGGCUGCUCUCAGGGAGAUGGGUACAUAACAUCACUGAGGAAGCAGAGCUCACGGUGUUCAUGGGCCCACCUCCGUCCUGCUCCAGAGAACACUCAGCACAUAGGUCUGACUCCACUCUCCUCAGUUCUGCCUGCCGCCCCUCUCCGACACCCUCCCCGCAGGUGGCCAAGAUGGAUGCUUGGUGUGAACUUAGCCCUUCCACCCUGAGAGCCACGUCCUUGGACAAUUUACUUAAAAGGCCUAAGUUUCACAUUUCUCCAAAGAAGAUUUACAAAUACACAAAAAGCCUGGGGAAAGAUGAUCAAAUGACUAAUCAUUGGGGGAAAUGUAAAUCAAAACCACAAGGUGAUACCACUACUGACUUGGAUAUGUGUCCCCUCCAAAUCUCAUGUAGAAAUUUGACCCCAGAGUUGGAGGUGGGGGCUGGUGGGAGGUGUUUAGGUCAUGGCGGUGAAUCCCUUAUCCACGUGGUACCCUCCUUGGGAUAAUGAGAGAGUUCUUACUCUAUCAGCUCCCAUUAGAUCCGGUUGUUAAAAAGAGCCUGGCACCUCCUCCCUUCUCUCUCUUCCUCCCUUCCUUUCCCCAUGAUAGCUGCGUCUCCCACCUUCCACCAGGACUGGAAGCUUUCUGAGGUCCUUACCAGAAGCAGAUGCCCACACUUUCUGCACCGUCCCCAGAACCGUCAACCAAAUAAACCGUUUUCCUUAUAUCACAUACUCCUUCAUAGCAACAGAAGACAGACUAAGACAGCCUCGCACCUAGGAAGAUGACUACUAUCAAAAAAGCAGAAAACCAGAGAAGCAAUUGGCUGGCAGUGGGGUCUGUGGGAAGCUGCCUCUGUCAUUGUGCCUGUGAAUCAGUGACAGUCUGGUGGCUUCUAUAAAAUGCUUAGAAGAGAUUGAGCUCGGUCCCUUCCUGUCACGGGUGGAAUUGUGCUCCCUGCUCCAAUUUAUAUACUGAAGUUCUAACGUUCCACACCCAGAAUGGGCCUAUAUUUGGGGUUGAGGUCUCUAAGGAGGUGAAUGAGGCCAUACGAUGGCCCUAAUCCAACUUCACCAUUGUCCUUAGAAGAAAAGGAGUUGAGGACAUAGACACAGGAGGACAGCCACGUGACGACCAGGGAGAAGACGCCAUUGCAAACCCAGGAGUGAGGCCUCAGGAGAAACCAGCCCUGCCACCUGCUCUCAGACUUCCGGCCUCCGGAACCCGGAGGAAACACACCUUUGCUGUUGAAGUGCCCAGUCUGUGGUGCCCUGUCGAGCCGGCCUGAGCGGCUGAUACACUUCUCAUCCCAAACCUGCUCCAUGCACUUUCCUCUGGCAGCUUCCAAAUCCUUCAGUAUCCGCCCCCCCACCCCCCAACCCAAGGAGCUUCAGCUGCUGAGUCCCAAAAUCCCAGCUUUUCCUUCACUGUCCCCGUCCUCCGUCCCCAGUGCCUCCGUCCCACCCUCUCCCACUGUGGUGGUGACACAGCCUGGUCCGGGCUGUCCUCCACUGCAGGUGGGUUCAUCAGUUUCACAGGUGAUCCCUGAGGAGGCUGCGUUUAGGUCCUCAAGUGGCCACAGGUGCCUUCCCCCUACCAAGGCUGUAUGCCAGCGACAAGGAACAGGUCCUAAUAUCUGGAAUGUGCCAAGUUAUUCUCACACGGGUGGCUUCUGUGCCCACUGCCUGAGCACUCUGUCUCCCUCCCUGCCAUCAAACUUCUAUUCAUCCUUCACGGCCGCAUCAAUGUUUUCCUCUUGGAAGCUCUCCCAGGCCUUCCCAAAGCACACUCACCCUUCCCUCUUUCCUCUGUCCUGUUCCUCUCAGCCGUGCGCACUGGUCUCUGCCACAUGAGGUUUCGCGACACUCUGUGUGCCUUCCUUUCUAACCAGAAUGACAGCGGACGAGAUCAGGGCUGUGCUUUAUUUGUCCUCAUAUUCCAAGCAUCCAGUCCAGCAUCCGGGAGGUGGUUGGUGCUCAAGAUACUUCUCAAAUGAAGAGAUUAUCUCAUUGUUGCUGGGUUUGUUUUUUUUUUUUUUGCAGUUUUUGGCCAGGGCUGGUUUUGAACCCUCCACCUCUGGUAUAUGAGGCCGGCGCUUUACUCCUUUGAGCCACAGGCGCCGCCCAUCAUUGUUGCUGUUUUAUGAACUUUUUUAGAACUAUGAAGAUGUUGAUAUGGUUAUAAUAAAGAUUUCGUGUGACUAUAAAAAAUGAAGGGAUUAAAUGAAGAGUUUACGCCCGAUUUUUUUUUUUCCGCAGUUUUCUUUUUGGCCAGGGCUGUUUUUGAACACGCCACCUCCGCUGAUGCCCUAUUCCUUUGAGUCACAAGUGCCCCCCUACGCCAGAUUUUUUUGACAAAUGCAUCUGUGUAAUGUGGGACAUUUAGCUACAUCCCUGGCUUCACGGGAGGGCUUCCGCAAGUUGUCAUUAUCCAAAAUACAGCAGCACCUCCCCAGUGGACCCACUCCCUACACUGACUGCCUCAGCUGACCUAAUUUUCAUAGACUGGACACGCACCAUGUGUACAUACCAGUGCUGCGGGCCUAAUGCCUUCUGUUGAUCACCUAUUAUGUUGAUUAGUUUGUUACCAUUCCUUGUCAUUCCUUGGGUGGUCAACUUACAGAGGUUUCACUGUAUCUCCAGAGAUUGUCAAAUGUCCCUUGAGGACAAAAUCCCAGGUUGAGAACUGCUGGUGCAGGCCUGCAGAGCUCCCUGAAGGUCCUGAAGUAACCCUGUGGGUCCAUCGGAGAGAGCUGUGACAUGCAGAUUUUAUUGGCGCAUGCAUCAGAGAUAAAAACAGCAAUUUUGGAAGCCUCAUCCCGAAGUGGGUGCUGUUCAGAAGUGGGGGCAUAGAAAGGGGUCUUUUUCUACUAGUAAGUCCAGGAGAUUUUUUUCCCCUGAGAUUUUGCCUUGCGUUUUCUAUUAAACUGGGGGCAAACCCAGCAAGGGAAGAUGCACUUUCCUCCCCAAGCAGAGGCUCUGACAGCAGAUGGGAUUACAGUUUUCAGAAAUUGAGUUGGCCCCUGUUCCACCUCCCCCCAGUCAGAUCCUUUCUGAUCCUUAACUGAUUUUCUCUGAAAUCACUUUUUCCCUGAAGCUUUCUGAACCCCUAGUGAGCAUCCAUGUUUUCAAAACACAUUGUACAAACCUCCCUUUAUAGGGACCAUCCACAAGCAUUCCUGCCACCCAGUGCUGUGGCUUCACCUCCCUCCUGCAGCAGUCCUGGGCCACUCUGGUGGCCUCUUUCCAUGGAGUGAACAGGGCACAUUUCUAACCUCCCUUCCCUCAGUUUCUGCUUCUAUAAAACUGGGUGAUGAUAUCCCUCUCAUCAUGAACAUGAACUAGUGAGAGCCUGGUGAUGCUAGCUGUGCCAUUCUCACAGGUCAUGGCCCCAGGGGGCAGGAUAACCUACCUUUUCU